GGCUGCCUGGCGAAAUGGUAUCGCGUCACUUUCCGGUCAAAGGAAUAUGGUGAAGAUUCCGGGUUCGAGUCCCGUGGUGGUCG